AUUCUUCAACCCACACUUUUCUUUAUGAAUCGAGUGGUGUUUGGAUUCUGAGCACUGCUGAUCUCACGAUCGGCUUGCUCGUAAUAUAUUAGCAACUCUAAUCUAUAUUUGGAUUGACUCGGUGUAAUAGACUAUUCGCUGAGGAUUACUUGCUUUCGGGCAAGUGGCCAAGUAUUAACCUGACUUUGCUCCUAAUCCGACUACUAGUCAACUUUUAAGAU
rnacentral:misc_RNA from 1 species